GGAGCUUUCCUCAGCAGCUGCUGUAAUCCAUUGUGAGCCUGCAAACUGCUGAGUGGGAUUGUGAAAAAAAAGGUCAUAUUUUACAACUUCAGAACUCCAGUUUCACUGAAUAAUGAAAAAAUAGCUCUCCAUCAUGCCCUCCUUCCCUGCCAUCUUGGCUUGCAGCCAGCCAACUAUGGGCAGAAGCACGAGCCAAAAUAAACUUCUCCUUGGAGUUGCAGCGGCUGGGUAUUGUGUCUCCGUGACAAGGAAAGUGACUAAGUAUUGUGUCUCAGUAGCA